rnacentral:rRNA from 1 species
UACGAAGGGUGCAAGCGUUACUCGGAAUUACUGGGCGUAAAGCGUGCGUAGGUGGUUUGUUAAGUCUGUUGUGAAAGCCCCGGGCUCAACCUGGGGAUGGCAAUGGAUACUGGCAAGCUAGAGUGCGGUAGAGGGUAGUGGAAUUCCUGGUGUAGCGGUGAAAUGCGCAGAUAUCAGGAGGAACACCGAUGGCGAAGGCGGCUCUCUGGGACGGUACUGACGCUGAGACGCGAAAGCGUGGGGAGCGAACAGG